AAUAAGUACAGUUUUACACUAUUCACGUUCAACGUUUGACCGUUCGUCUUAUUUAAUUUUUUUUAUAAUUAGUAUUUUUAUUGCUAUUAGAUGAUAAAACAUGAAUAGUACUUUAUGUGUGACUAAAUAUUUUCAAUUUUUUCACAAAUUUUUCAAAUAAGACGGACGGUCAAACGUUGAGCACGAAUAUCUACGACUGCACUUAUU
rnacentral:pre_miRNA from 1 species